rnacentral:hammerhead_ribozyme from 1 species
AUCCAUCUGACAAGUCCCAAACAGGACGAAAUGCACUUUGCCCUGGAU